AACAAACGCUGGCGGCGUGCCUAACGCAUGCAAGUCGUACGAGAAAGGGUCCUUCGGGGCCUGAGUAAAGUGGCGCACGGGUGAGUAACGCGUGGAUAAUCUGCCCUUCAGUUGGGAAUAACUCAUCGAAAGGUGGGCUAGUACCGAAUAAUGCUGUGAGACCUCGGUUGAUCAGCCAAAGAGAGCCUCUGCUUGCAAGCCCUCGCUGAAGGAUGAGUCCGCGUACCAUUAGCUAGUUGGUAGGGUAAUGGCCUACCAAGGCGACGAUGGUUAGCUGGUCUGAGAGGAUGGUCAGCCACACUGGAACUGAGACACGGUCCAGACUCCUACGGGAGGCAGCAGUGAGGAAUCUUGCGCAAUGGGGGCAACCCUGACGCAGCAACGCCGCGUGAGUGAGGAAGGUCUUCGGAUCGUAAAGCUCUGUCGGAUGGAAAGAACCGCAUAGGGGUAAACAGCCCCUGUGUCUGACGGUACCAUCAAAGGAAGCACCGGCUAACUCCGUGCCAGCCGCCGCCGUAAGAC
rnacentral:rRNA from 1 species